GUGAAUCAUCAAAUUUUUGAACGCAAAUUGCACUCUCCUCGGAGAGUAUGCCUGUUUGAGGGUCAGCCUAUAAAAAAUCUACAUCGUGGCUGUCUCGCGGUGGGGUGCGGCGGAAAUUGGGUCAUCUUAAAUCCUGUUGGUUUUUAAGCGACUUAAAAUUUGCUUUUUGGUUUCAGAGUGGUUUCUAAGAUUUAUUUCUUUACACGUUUAAGGUAU
rnacentral:misc_RNA from 1 species